GUCAAAUUAACUUUUCAUAUAUUCAUAGAAUUACAGACAUUGAAAACAGCUUUGAGAUGUUUCCUCUCAGAAACCAGCUUUCAUAGAGGAGGAACUUGGAGUGAGAAUUGGUUCCUCGCUUCUCCAUAGGCAGAGGGCCCAAAGACCAGCUGAAGCCCCAGGCAUGGAGACCUCUUCUCUUUCCUUUGAGUAGAGACGACAGACUGCAGUCUCUAGAUCCUGUACCAUGUGACUUCUGGCUCUUCUGUGAAGUGAAAAUGACAACGAAAGUAACCAUCUUGGAUACAUUCGGGACAUUGAGUCUGUCACAGCAGGGCAGCGAGGGCUACUCACGAAAGAGGACUUUGAGAACUACUUCUGGAAGUGGCCAGGAUGAUGCGGAUAUGGGUGGGUGAAGUGAAGGGGAGGAUCUGAGGGGGACUGAUGACAACGUGUGUUUCACUG
rnacentral:lncRNA from 1 species